rnacentral:lncRNA from 1 species
UAGACCAGAAUUGUCUUUCAAGAAGCUUAGUGGCAGUGGAAGGAUCAUGAUUUAUCAAAAUGUAAAGAAGAUUUUAAAGAUAUAUUUGCAACUAUAGGAUAAUAACUAUGUAUUCAUUUUGGAUACAUUGGGGAAGCAAUAUACUGAGAAGCUUUGUUGACAGACAAACUUCAAGGCUUAGAAAAACAGCUCUCCAAACACUCUUCUGGGAUUUCACUGAUGAGCAAGAGGUGUGAACAACAGAAGCAAAAACACAACCAGAAUAAUCUCCAAGAAAUCCGAUGAAAAAUGCAACCUGAUCCAAACCAAAGUACCCCGUACUUUCCCCUUCUUCAUUAGCCAGUACAGCUACAAUCUUACUUUGAUC